UGUGCUUAAUUUAUUGUUGCUUUGUUGUUUUGAUCAAAUUGGCCACUUGAUUCUUGAUUGCAAAGUAAUUCUUUGUUAGUUUGGAUAGUUUGAAGUCCGUAAUUGCUUGAAUUAUUCAAACACAAGUAACCCUUGGUGUAAAAACCUAGGAAAUUGCAUAAUCUAGCAAUAUCAACAUACGUUUGGGUAGCUAGAAUUAGGUCUCUCUUUUUCUUAAUGCAAUUAACAGUUGUUAGAUGCCAAAGGCCCAAGGACGUUCCUUGGCAACUUGUUGAUUAGUGAUUAAUUAGAGGACGUUCCCUAAUCAAUCUAUGCUUAAGGAGGGAUAUGGUUGGUGAGAAGCGUCUUCCACCUCCAUAACUAAUUUAUUGAGUUAAAUAAGAGAAUAUAAGUUUCAAUGAUCAAUCCUAACAACUAAAGUGGAUCCAACUCUUCAACUAGGACUUUCUCAUUAUUGAAUUUCUCUACUUUAAUUAUUUGCUUUUCUCUAUUGCUUUCAAUAUUAGUUUAGUUUAUCAAACCUCAAAACCCCCAUUUUACUUUUAUUGUUUGUUUCUUUACUUGGUCUUGACAAGGAAAAUAAGUAAGUAUCAAUUCCCUAUGGAUUCGACCCUAUUGCCACUAUCUGCAAGUUUAUUGUUGAUUAUUUAAUAGGUUUAUUUUUUACGGCUUCGACAAUCGCUUAUCAAAAAUUGGCGCCGUUGCCGGGGACUUGAUUUAACUUAUUUGUUUUUCUUUCAUGAUCAGAUCUGGACUCAAGAAAUUGAUUCAUGGAUGAGGUAAGUAUAUCUAUUCUCACUGCCCGACUUUCUGAACUAACCUCCGUUGUGAGAAGUUAUGUCAUAGGUCAAGCUCAACAACUUCAGCAGUCUCGGCCAUGUGGGAUUUGCGCAUAUGUAGGACACCCAACUGAUCAAUGUCCUACACUUUAUGAGGAUUACCAACAAGUACAUGCCUUUGGAGGAUUCAUUAGCCAGCCAAGACAUGAUCCCUACCUUGAUACCUACAAUCCAUGUUGGAGGGACCACCCGAAUUAUGACUAUGCAAGGGCUAACUACUACCAAAACUAUCAAGCCUAAGCAACACCUCAAAACUCCUAUAUGGAACUUGAAGAGAUGGUGAGGAGGUUGGAAAUUUCUGGGCAAAAACUCCAACAGCAAGUGGAUCAAGCGGUCAACUCAGUGAACGCACACAUAUUAAGAAAAGAGGAAGAUCUUCAAGAUCUAUGGGAUGAUGACGAAGGUUCCCAAGAAACAGACCGAGCUGCUGAAUCUAGCUGCAAAAUUGUUGAAUCAGCCGCUGUCCAAACAACACUUGUUGAAGCUCCUGCCAUCAAAGAGACAACAAUACAUACUGCUGAUGCUGAAAAUAUUGCAGCACCUGCUGUAAAAAAUUCAGACUCUGCUGCUGUCCAAAAAUCAGCAGCUACUGAAAUUGCCCCAACCGAGCCUGAACCUGCUGAAACUUCCACAAUUACACCAUAAAUUGCUGAACCCGCUGCUGUCCAUAAAUCAACAAUUGCAGAAAUUGCCCCAACUGAACCUGAAGUUACUGCACUUGCUGAACCAGCAAUAUACAUCACAAUACCAGCAUCUACCAAAGCACAGUUUGCAACCCCAGCUGCUGUCCAAAAACCAGCAACUGCUGUGUUUGCCCAAACAGCACAGCCCACUACUGUGUCUGCCCAAACACCUGCUGAUGUGGAUCAAAAUGGUGUACUAACCAAUGAUUUUUGUAGGGAGGACAGCCAAGAAGAUGAAAGAAGCCAAGUAGAGCUGAAACGGACAGCAAUGAACUGCUGCAUGCAGAGGACAGAUUGUUGUUUGCCCAAACAGCCUGGGCAAACAAGCAGACAGGAGGCAGAACAGGCAGAUUACUGUUUGCCCAAACAGCCAGCAAAGGCAGAACAGGCAAUCCUCUGUUUGCCCAAACAGGUUCAGCAGCCAACUAAGACAGAAUGCAGACUGGCCAAGUCAAUCCAGCAAGAAGAACUCUGUUUGCCCAAACCAGUUGGGCAAACAGCUCCAGCAGAACACUGUUCACCUGAAAAACCAGCAGAAGAAAAGAAGGUAGAAUCUUGUUUGCCCGAACAGCAGCCAGCAAAGGAGCAUGAGGAAAGUUGCUGUUUGCCCAAACAGCAGGGAGAAGGAGAAUCCAGCUUUUCCAAACAGCAAACCAAGGCAGAAUCUUGUUUGCCCAAACAAGCUAUGCAGAUUGUACAAGAAGAUUGUUGUUUGCCCAAACAGCAAGAUAAGGUAUAAUUUGUUUUGUCCGAAUUCAAAUUGCAGCCACAUAUGGAGAAAUAUGAAUUGGAGUUCGAAGUACUGCCCAAUCAUCUCAAAUAUGCACACAUAAGGACUAGAGGCACACCUCAUCUGAAAGAGAAGAAGCUAAUCAUGUUACUUUAUGAGUACAUGAAAGAAAUAGGAUGGGUUGUGACCAAAUCAAAAGGCACGCUACACUUUUUACUUAAUGCAGUUGGAACCAUUUUCCCUCCUCCAAUUACUUGAGCCUUGAUCAAGUCAAGAAAGUCUAGCCCGCGACUUUAAACUAAGGCGCUACUGGGAGGCAACCCAGCGGAGACAUGCCCAAUCAAGGAAGAUUUUCCAGACGAAAAAAAAAAAACAGAGAUAUGUGACUGUUUGCCCAAACAGCAUGGGCAAACAACCAGAGAUGCAGGAACCAGAGGAGUUAACCCACUUCCAGAUUUUAGCUGUUUUGUAGGUAAAGGCUGGAUGACCAAACUGUUUGCCCAAACACACUGGGCAAACUGCAGAGAAGACUACCAGGGCACACUGUUUGCCCACACAAGCUGGGCAAACACCUACAGCAGAUCGGCAGCAGCCCACAUCAGUAGACCAACCAGCAGACAGUCCACCACCAGCCAGUAGGCCAACCACAAGCGCAACAGUACACCAGACCAGUACAUCCUGCCACCUGCACACAGAAAUACCUGACGCAUCCAGCUGUUUGCCCAAACAGAACUGGGCAAACAACCACACCAGGGAAGUAUCAGUUUUUCACUUGAACUUUAAUUUUUCCAUACAUUGAGGACAAUGCAUGAGUUAGGUGUGGGGGUGCAUAUCUCUGAAUUUUGAUGCUUCAUGCAUACUUUUUGAUUCCUCUUAAUUUCUUUUAAGCUUUAAUUUUCAAUUAGUACACAUUAGGUUGAAUUUUUUUUCAUUUUUAGUUAUUUUUGCUUUCAACUCACACACAUUCACAUAGCCACAGUCUUUUCUUUUUACUGUUUUGAUAUGCUUUACUCAAACACACAGGCUAUGGUGAAUGAGUUUUCUUCUCAUGACCCCAUUGAUGUGAUGACCCUUUAAACCUAAGUUGAAUCAAUUGUAGUGAGUUGUAUUCAUUUUUGGAAAUUUCCUUUUGAAUUGAAUCUUUGAGCUUGUCAUGGUGAAAAAUAUAUUGAUGACCCUCAUUAGAGAGAAUAAAUCGAAAGUUGUGUGAAUGAACUAAAUAUGACUUAUUUUGGCAAUUGGUGUUGAUUUGCCCCAAUCAUUGAGAAAAAGAAAAAAAAAAUUCAGUAAAGGCAAAGACCUCAAAAGCACAAAGUAAAAACUGUUCCAAUGGUCAAAGACUAUGAACAGAGCUAGUAGCCACUUGGACAAGUGACCAACUGAGUAACUGGGGGUGGGUAUCACAAAUAUGUACCUUCACGUCAAAAGGUUGGUGACUUUUCCAAGCAAGAAUAAAAGUGCAAAAGCUGAAUAAAAGAGUAAAGUGCUUCAAGAAAAGGGCAAAUCACUCUGAAAGCUAGAAAGAGUCUAAAAAUAAACAAAUAUGUGCAUGAUAUAUCUCUUGAGGAAAAUAAAUACUAACCAUGCUAGGUAAAGGGAGACAAGGAAAAGAGGAAAGUAACCUUGGUGCAUACACUCUUCACUACAAUGCUUCAAAGUAGGAGUCUAGGGUAUGAGCUUAAGUGGAAAUAAGGAUCAAGUAGUAAGAAAGCUUAUUUGACUAAGUCUAUUUGCUUGAGGACAAGCAAAGGGUUAGGUGUGGGGGUAUUUGAUAGAGCCAAAUUUAGACCCAUUUUCCAUAUUAAUAUUUAUGUUAAUUUACACAUUUUCUACCUAAUUUUGUGGUUUUAACCUUAUUUUGCAGAAAAUGGAGUAAAAUGGUAAUUUGGCAAAAAUGGCCUUAAAUCUGCCCAAAUGAGAGCAAAAUUGCACAAGCAUGGUUUGCCCAAAUUGUUUGCCCAAACCAAAGUUGAAGCUGAAAUGGAAGAGGAACAAUCUGCUGUUUGACCAGACUGUUUGCCCAAACAGACUGGGCAAACAGACCAGCCAAGGCAGAAACUUGUUUGCCCAAACAACCCGGGCAAACAGCACCAGCAACCAGCAGACAGUAAAUUGCGGGAAAAUCAAAAUUCAAAUGCUCAAGAAGUGUUUUUCCUCCCAAACACGUGUGGACAGCUCAGCAAACCCUAGAGACACCUCAGCACUCAAUCCCACAUAUUUAGGAAGACAAAUCUCAUCAAAAUACAAUUAUCUUCCAAGAAUUCAACUCCAAUUGGGAAAAGGAGUCCCAACUCAACAAGGAAACCCUAGGGCAGCCUCUUCAGCUAUAAAAGGGCAUGCAAACCAGCAGAUCAAUCAUCUUUGGAUCAUCUUUGGAUCAUCAUACAUCCUCGGCAGAAGCUACACCAGCAGCCGCACCACACCAGCAGGCCAAUUGGCCCUUUUUCUCCUUCUUUUUGCUUUCUUUCUUUUCUUUUUGUGUUAGUUUCAGCCAUGAGUGGCUGAAACCCUUUUUCUAGUUGAAGAAUAAGGUGAAACUUUGGUUGUUUAUGGAUUGGGAGAUCUGAACCUUCAUGUUAUUCUUUUAUUAAUCAGUAUUUAUGCAAUUUUGUGCUUAAUUUAUUGUUGCUUUGUUGUUUUGAUCAAAUUGGCCACUUGAUUCUUGAUUGCAAAGUAAUUCUUUGUUAGUUUGGAUAGUUUGAAGUCCGUAAUUGCUUGAAUUAUUCAAACACAAGUAACCCUUGGUGUAAAAACCUAGGAAAUUGCAUAAUCUAGCAAUAUCAACAUACGUUUGGGUAGCUAGAAUUAGGUCUCUCUUUUUCUUAAUGCAAUUAACAGUUGUUAGAUGCCAAAGGCCCAAGGACGUUCCUUGGCAACUUGUUGAUUAGUGAUUAAUUAGAGGACGUUCC
rnacentral:lncRNA from 1 species